GGAUUGUCUCAUCCACACAGCCUCGUACGGGAUGACCGGCAUAGAACAACUGCACAAGAAGCGCAUUCGGUCGGUCAACAUUGGAGGGACUGGAAUCGUCCUUGAAGUUUGCAAGCGGCAAAGGAUCCCCAGGUUGAUCUACACCAGUACAGUCGAUGUAGUCUUCGCAGGACAAACGAUCGUGGACGGCGAUGAAGCGACGGUAUCC